rnacentral:tRNA from 1 species
GGAGAGGUGCCAGAGCGGUCGAAUGGGCUGGUUUCGAAAACCAGUGUACGGGCAACUGUACCGGGGGUUCGAAUCCCCCCCUCUCCGCCA